AUUGAACGCUGGCGGCAGGCCUAACACAUGCAAGUCGAGCGGAGCGGCGGACGGGUGAGUAAUGCCUAGGAAGCUGCCUGGUAGUGGGGGAUAAAGUCCGGAAACGGGCGCUAAUACCGCAUACUAUCAGAUGAGCCUAGUUAGGAUGAGCUUGUUGGUGGGGUAAAGGCCUACAAAGGCGACGAUCCGUAACUGGUCUGAGAGGAUGAUCAGUCACACUGGAACUAGGACACGGUCCAGACUCGUACGGGAGGCAGCAGUGGGGAAUAUUGGACAAUGGGCGAACGCCUGAUCCAGCCAGGCCGCGUGUGUGAAGAAGGUCUUCGGAGUGGAAAGCACUGUAAGUUGGGAGGCGUUACCAGCAGAAUAAGCACCGGCUAACUUCGUGCCAGCAGCCGCGGUAAUAC
rnacentral:rRNA from 1 species